rnacentral:tRNA from 1 species
GGAGGCGUGUCCGAGCGGCCGAAGGAAGCCGCCUUGAAAGCGGCCAGGUGUCAAAAGCCUCGCAGGUUCAAAUCCUGUCGCCUCCGCCA